rnacentral:lncRNA from 1 species
CUGAACACGGCGCAGGGCGCGCGCGACUUCAUCUACAGCUUGCACUCCACGGAGAGGAGCUGCCUGCUCAAAGAGCUGCACCGCUUCGAGUCUAUUGCCAUUGCCCAAGGAAAAAUUGGAAGCUCCACCACCCACCCCAGGACAGCUGAGAUAUGUAUUCAUCCACAAUGCGAUACCUUUCAUAGGGUUUGGCUUUUUGGAUAAUGCAAUUAUGAUUGUUGCUGGAACCCAUAUUGAAAUGUCUAUUGGAAUUAUUUUGGGAAUUUCAACUAUGGCAGCUGCUGCUUUGGGAAAUCUUGUGUCAGAUCUAGCUGGACUUGGACUUGCAGGCUAUGUUGAAGCAUUGGCUUCCAGGUUAGGCCUGUCAAUUCCUGAUCUCACACCAAAGCAAGUUGACAUGUGGCAAACACGUCUUAGUACACAUUUGGGCAAAGCUGUUGGGGUGACUAUUGGCUGCAUUCUAGGAAUGUUUCCUUUAAUUUUCUUUGGAGGAGGUGAAGAAGAUGAAAAACUGGAAACGAAAAGUUAAUCCUCUUAGAAUACCUAUAAAAAGAUGUAAACUAAUGUACCUCAGUAAUUAAAUAUGCUGUCACAACAUUUAGGAAUUAAGACAGUAACAGUAUAGAUAUGGGAUCAAAUAAUUUAGCAUGUAUUAUGGAAAACACUAACUUAUUGUGGCUUGAUCUUCUUAGGACAUCUUUUUUAAAAAGCUGUUUAGUAUCAUUUUGUGUAAAUUGUUGAAAUGCUUUUUCAUCAAUAGCAGUCAACAUUUUAUCCUUUCUUUUUAUAUUCAUAAUGUUAUUUAAGUGUCAUUGAUGUACUGUAUUGACUUGGGGUUUGCUUAUUUGUUACUUAACAUGUGUACAUGCAUGAAAGCAUUUUUCGUUGUUCCCUGAUAGUUACAUUUCAACCUUGGGAUUUUUCCGAAUUACUUAAGAUGUUUAAUGUCAGUUAAAGAUUUUUUUACCCUCUUUUUGGGAACAUCAAUUUUGUACUGUUA